CAUGGUGUUUGAUAUUUCUUUAGAAGCAUGUUACACACGACGCAACAUUGAUAACACACUUCCUUAGGAAGUCAUAGCACAUUACCUAUAUGAACAAUUCCAAAGACUAAACAAAUACUUACUUUAUAGUAAUCUAAAACUAAUUAUAUUACUUUACUGAAAGAGUAUAUCUUAAAAUUUACAAAAUCACUAUAGAUACCACCUAGUCAAAAGACAUAUCAUACACUAAGCGAAUAGGGUUGAAGAGUCUAAAAUAAUUCCAUCAAAUAAGCAAAAACCUCCUUUAAAUCUAGAACUUGAAACAUGAUGGGUUAGGUCCCACCAUAAAGAAGCUAGCCAUUUAUGGUAUGCAUAGUUCCUGGGUUUCAUUUUCAUUUUUAGACUCCACCGCUUGCGUUGCUCCCAGGGGAGUGGACUAGGCGAAAUUCUACCCUCCAGCCAACCUCUCCUCCCAUCUAACCAUCCCUCG
rnacentral:lncRNA from 1 species